rnacentral:rRNA from 1 species
AUGCUCUUGGAUGAAACAGAAGGAAUUUUGUAUCUAAGCUAUGAUGAGUUACCGCAUCGUCUGAAGCAGUGUUUCAUUUAUUGUGCUUUGUUUGUUGAAGAUGCUAUCAUUGACCGUGGCGUACUUAUAAAUUUAUGCAUUGCUGAAGGCUUCAUAAAAGAGCAACAAGGCCAACUACUAGAAGACAUAGCAGAAGAGUACUACUAUGAGCUAAUCCAUCGGAAUCUCCUCCAACCAGAUUAUUUACAGUUCGACCAAUCUAAAUGCAAAAUGCAUGACCUCUUGAGGCAGCUUGCUUUAAAUAUAUCAAGAGAAGAAUGUUUUAUUGGAGAUGUUGAAACAUUAGGGGGUGACAAUAUGUCGAAACUGAGACGUGUUGCUGCUGUCAUUAAGAAGGAUAUGUUAGUGUUACCUAGAGUGGAUAAGGUGGAUGUUAAGGUGAGGACUUUCCUAACUGUUAAUGGUCCAUGGAAAAUCAAGGAUACAUUGUUCAAGAGAUUUUUGCUUCUUCGUGUUUUGGUACUGAAUUGCUCGCUUGUACAAAGCAUUCCAGACUAUAUAGGAAAACUAAUACAUCUGCGCCUACUUAAUCUAGAUUAUACUGGCAUAUCUUGUCUUCCAGAAUCCAUUGGCUCCCUAAAGAACCUUUUGGUAUUGAGCUUGAGAUGGUGUCAUGAUCUGCACAAUCUCCCUUUCGCAGUGACCAUGUUGAGCAAUUUAAGAUGCCUUGAACUUUACACAACAAUAAACCAAGUUCCAAAAGGGUUAGGAAAACUGAAGUUACUCACUAGUUUAACAAAUUAUCCUGUUGGUGAUGGAGGUGAUAAUGCUGUCGUACAAGAUGGAUGA